rnacentral:lncRNA from 10 species
UAGAAAUCUGAUGUGUCAGAAGGGAACUCUGCCAUGCGGACUUCACAGCACCAGGAUCACAAGAAGCUCUAAGACUUUCCGGGGGUUUAGUAUACCGCUGCCUGCAUGUGGUGAGAAGAUAUCAAUAUUUAUUCAGGCACUGUUCCAGACCCUGGAGAUGUGGAGUCCCAGUCCUCUGAGAGCAAACAAGCAUAGUACCAUGUGACGAUUGCCAUAAUCCAGGUGAUACUCUUUAAAAAACGCUUAUAUACCAGACUAUGAUACAUAGACUAUCUCAGCACAUUCAAAAGAGCAGAAAUUGUACAGAUGACAUUUCAGACCACAGUGCAAUACAAUGAAAGAUGAUUAACACCGUUGUAAGA